rnacentral:lncRNA from 10 species
CCAGGAACUUCCCAGGCUCAGCCUCCACAUGAGCACAUGGUGGGAUGGGAUGGUGGUGGGAUGAGGUGAUGAAGAACUGAAGAUACAGGAUGCUGCUAGGGCUGAUUCAUGGAUGUGAGUCCUGCACAUUUGCAAGGGCCCCAUGCCGGGUUUAAGCCUCUACUAUCACUGUCUUGAAAUUCUUAACAAUGUUGAACAAGGAGCCCUGCAUUUUCACUUUGCACUGGACCCUGCAAAUUAUGUAGUUUAUUUAUGUAGCUGUUGGGCUCUGGGGUAGGAGGCAGCAGCCCCCGACCUGCAGUGCUCCUGGGACUUAUCAGAGGCUUGUCAAUCCAUCAACCAAUGGCUGAGUCACCAACAGACAGGAAGGAAGCCAGACUAAGCCCCACCAGACAGGUUUGGCCUGUAACUGCAAAUCCCUAAGAGACUGUAACAAGGCAAGGCUCUAAGGAGAUUCUGGGGAUAGAAUUGGAACCCAUGGAGGAGGGGCAUGGUCUGAGGGGGAUUUUAACUCAGUGUCAGAAAGAUUUUCCUAACAGUC